rnacentral:rRNA from 1 species
CGACACGUAAGCCCCCGGCCCCACAGGCCCCUUGGGGGCAGAGCCGCCCUCUCGCUGCCUUUGCGCCAGGCCGCGACAGGAGCGCGCCCGAGCCCCAUAACAUCCAGGGCAGUCCCGUCCGCAAAGCGGCGGGGACCGGGUUAGCGGGCGUUGCCCCCUGCGGUCCCCGGGGCAAACGCACUACACCCCCCCCCUNGGGAAGUUCGGCCGCCACGGCCUAAAAUUCAAAGGAAUGUACGGGGCCCCGCACAAGGGGGGGAGCAUGUGUUUAAUUUUGCAGCAACGGGAAGACCUUUCCCAGGUCUGGCCAUCCUUUGACACUCUUAGAGAUAGGAAUUUCCCCUUCGGGGGCCAGAGUGACAGGAGGCGCAUGGUCGUCGUCAGCUCGUGUCGUGAGAUGUCGGGUAAAGUCCCGCAACGAGCGCAACCCUUGAUAUUAGUUGCCAGCAUUCAGUUGGGCACUCUAAGGUGACUGCCGGUGACAAACCGGAGGAAGGUGGGGAUGACGUCAAGUCAGUAUGGCCCUUACGGCCAGGGCUGCACACGUACUACAAUGCCCGGUACAAAGGGAAGCAAGACCGUCAGGUGGAGCCAAUCCCAGAAAACCGGGCCCAGUUCAGAUUGUCGUCUGCAACUCGACGGCAUGAAGUUGGAAUCGCUAGUAAUGGCGCAUCAGCUACGGCGCCGUGAAUACGUUCCCAGGCCUCGUACACACCGCCCGUCACAUCAUGGAAGCCGGUCGCACCCGAAGUGCGUGAGCCAACCGCAAGGAGGCAGGGCCGUAAGGUGUAGCUGGUAACUGGGAUGAAGUCGUAACAAGGUAA